AUCCCCAACUUUCCCUCCUAAAAUCCCUAAUUUCCCCCCUUGAAACCCCCCAACUUUACAAACAUACGUCCUUUAAAAUUUUUAACUCCGACCCCAUUGCUAUCUUUUCUUCCUCAACCCCAAUUCAAACGCCCAAUUUUGGAAAUCUAUUUUUUCUUUCUCUGCAGAACUUUAAAAAAAACCGAUCUCGAUUCAUACACAUAUAACAAUCACAGUCACAGUCCCGCUGGACUUUUAGCAAAAUCCAAAAAUUCUCUUCCUCCAUGAAGUAGCCAAGAGAAGUGCAAAAGCGGCUGUCUCAUAUAUUCUUCCAUCUAAGUUAUUUGGGAAGAAAGAAGAUGAAUCUGACUCAACUGUGGCAAAUGAAAACGGUAAAGUGCCGGAUGAAUAUGAGAGUGAAGGGUCUAUUGAGGAACCUACCUUUAUGGAGUCAGUUUCAGAUUCGAAUCCUGUUGAUGAAAAGCAACCAUUCUGAUAGGAGGAAGUAGCUCCGUUGUUUUGAAGGAUAAGUGUUGAACAAAUUAGUAGCAGAAGCAAAUGCAUGAAGCUUUAAGCAAACGGACUAUAUCAAUACACUGGUACUGAUAUCAAGAAAAUAACAGUCAUCAAAAUCAACCACAACCAAGAUGUCCAAGCAUUAGACAGAAACGAGAAUAAGAGCUGCGAAACUGGAAUUAUACGUAUAGCACUCCAAUCACUUUUCUUGCAACAUGAUUACUCGUAUAGCACUCCAAUCAUAAAAUUGAUUUUAACGCAGCGGAGGAAGAGGAAUUUGGAUUCUCAAGAAACUAUUUCUUAGCAAAAGAAAUGGGCAGUUCUGGGAAGAAAUCUGCUCGUAAACUCAGUGAUAUCAACGUCGUUGACGAACAGGAACUUAGAGAAGCUUCAGCUAAUAUUGAACCAAAGCAUCAAAAUGACAUUGCAGAUUUAAUAAAUAGUUACAAAAGUUUAUACCCAAAAUGGUUUUUUGAUCUCAGCUGAAAAAAGCCUUUACAUUAAUCACCCUUGAAGUUACUUUUCUACAGGUAAUAAUAAAUUUUCCUUUUUUUUCUGUCUGCUUAUUGGGUUUCUUUUAAUUCAUUCCUUAGCUGGUUCAUGUUGAUUUUUUUUUUUUUGCGUAUCUUCUUAGAUUUUCUUCUGAAUUUUGUUUGAUCUAAGCUUAUAAUGGGGAGAUACCCAUAUUCUAUUUAGUCUUAAAUUUUAUGAUUUCACUUCCUAUAGAAAAAUUAAUGCAUGUUUUUGUCUUUCAAUAUAGGAAGCAGGUAAGCAUGUGAGUUCAAACUAUUUGGUAGAUUUUUAAUCAAAUAGAUUGAAUUGCCAGGAUUUAUACUUUGCAAUAUUUAUAUAUAUAGUUUUUUAUUUGUUCAAUGUUCUAACUGAAAUUUAUGCCAAUGAAAACUUCU